GAGUUUGAUCUUGGCUCAGGAUGAACGCUGGCGGCGUGCUUAACACAUGCAAGUCGAGCGAAGCGCUUUACUUUGAUUUCUUCGGAAUGAAGAGUGAUUUGACUGAGCGGCGGACGGGUGAGUAACGCGUGGGCAACCUGCCUCAUACAGGGGGAUAGCAGUUAGAAAUGACUGCUAAUACCGCAUAAGACCACAGUACCGCAUGGUAUGGUGGUAAAACUCCGGUGGUAUGAGAUGGGCCCCCGUCUGAUUAGGUAGUUGGUGGGUAACGGCCUGCCAAGCCGACGAUCAGUAGCCGACCUGAGAGGGUGACCGGCCACAUUGGGACUGAGACACGGCCCAAAACU
rnacentral:rRNA from 1 species